rnacentral:rRNA from 1 species
CCAGACUCCUACGGGAGGCAGCAGUGGGGAAUAUUGGACAAUGGACCAAGAGUCUGAUCCAGCAAUUCUGUGUGCACGAUGAAGUUUUUCGGAAUGUAAAGUGCUUUCAGUUGGGAAGAAAAAAAUGACGGUACCAACAGAAGAAGUGACGGCUAAAUACGUGCCAGCAGCCGCGGUAAUACGUAUGUCACAAGCGUUAUCCGGAUUUAUUGGGCGUAAAGCGCGUCUAGGUGGUUAUAUAAGUCUGAUGUGAAAAUGCAGGGCUCAACUCUGUAUUGCGUUGGAAACUGUGUAACUAGAGUACUGGAGAGGUAAGCGGAACUACAAGUGUAGAGGUGAAAUUCGUAGAUAUUUGUAGGAAUGCCGAUGGGGAAGCCAGCUUACUGGACAGAUACUGACGCUAAAGCGCGAAAGCGUGGGUAGCAAACAGGAUUAGAUACCCCGGUAGUCCACGCUGUAAACGAUGAUUACUAGGUGUUGGGGGUCGAACCUCAGCGCCCAAGCAAACGCGAUAAGUAAUCCGCCUGGGGAGUACGUACGCAAGUAUGAAACUCAAGGAAUUGACGGGGGCCCGCACAAG